rnacentral:rRNA from 1 species
UACGUAGGUGGCAAGCGUUGUCCGGAAUUAUUGGGCGUAAAGCGCGCGCAGGCGGCCUCUUGAGUCUGAUGUGAAAGCCCCCGGCUCAACCGGGGAGGGCCAUUGGAAACUGGGAGGCUUGAGUAUAGGAGAGAAGAGUGGAAUUCCACGUGUAGCGGUGAAAUGCGUAGAGAUGUGGAGGACACCAGUGGCGAAGGCGACUCUUUGGCCUAUAACUGACGCUGAGGCGCGAAAGCGUGGGGAGCAAACAGG